GCGCCCGUAGCUCAGGGGAUAGAGCGCUGGCCUGCGGAGCCAGAGGACGCAGGUUCAAAUCCUGCCGGGCGUACCA
rnacentral:tRNA from 1 species